ACAUCAUGGCUACUAGCAGCUCGGGCUCAGAGGAGGCAUGGAGGCUGGGUCUGCUCAGGGCAUGGCUUGCAGCCCAUGCAAGCAGAUGGAAACAGCUGCUGCCAAGCACACUACACCUCCCAGCCUGCAAUAACAAUCACAUCACCUCACCUCUGGCCCACACAAUCUGAAGAAGGAUGUUGUAAAAUGGAGCUGUGCUGUGGAUUCAUUCCUGGAGGAGCAAGAAGCAAAUUGAAGAGCGCUUAAUGUCUCUCUGUACCGUGCCACUUGGAUGUAGUGCUCAGGGAUGCUCCACAGUGCAGGGAUGGAGGAGGAACUUUGGGUAUGCAUGAGCUGUCAGAGUGGGUGCUGAGCAGCAAAGUGCUCAGGGGAAUACCUUGGGUGUUACUAAUGGAGGAAGUACUGUUCCCUUUGUAGAACUGAGGCGGUUGGAAAAGACUACUAAGGUCAUUGCAUCCAACCAUCAACUCAUCAUCACUACGGCCGCUAAACCACAUUGCUCACUGCUAUGGUUCCCUUACUGUCCUGGGCAGUAAAUCCAUUCCUGGGUGUUUUCCAUGCAGUCCCCUUCCACAGUCUUUUUCAAAAGUAAAGGUAGCAUGGGUCUUCCUGGAGAUGCUCUGGUGUUGGUACAGCAGUGCUGAGUAGGUGGCUUGAGGAAAUUGAUGAGCAGGGACCAUGCUGCUGAAAUAUGGGCAUUUAACCAAAUGGCAGAAUGGCCUCUGUUUUAGAGAAGGCUUAUGAUGGUGUCUUCUGGACUUGAAAUGAGAAGUGCUUGCAUCUGGCAAGUCCUCCUGGGAAUGGUAAAGCAAUCAUCCUGCUUGGAACAGGCCUUUGAAGUGCACUGGUCUCACUCUUGCCAACGUGUAACUUGGCAUAGCUGAGCUGCUCAGGCACAAUUUUCUGCUCCUCCAUGGAAAGUGGGGGCCGGGUGUGAUCUGCAGCCUUCCCAGCAGUGCUUGAUGGCAUGCUGUGCCUGGGAGUGACUUGCUUGCUUCUAGAAGCUGUAAGUCACACACCAAUAACUGCGUGGAAAUGGCUGGGCAAAUACUUUGAAAGACAGAAACUUCUUAGAAACCACUGCUGUGUGAGUCAUGUGCAUGGAAAAAGGUGAACUGACAAGUUCUCCCUGGCAAGCCAUUUGCUGACCAUUCCUUGUCCUGGCAGCACUGCUCCCUUUCCUCCUUCCUUCUCUUAUCUGCUUGCUUUUAAACCUUGCUGUUCAAAGAUUCCAAAUUGAUUUUUUUUCUCUCCCCCCAUCCCAAAUUUCUAAUGUCAAUAAAUACUUCAAAGGUAGAGAGAACUUGCAUGCCAGCUCCUAGCCUAGAGCUUACUUUUACAGCUCUGCAAUAAACCCCUCUAAAAAAAUGUUUAUAAUGGCCAUGACCGUGGUGCUUAACUAUUGCAGUGCUCUCUAUCACCCUCAUAAUGUUAAGUGCCAAUAAAUCACCUGAGCUG
rnacentral:lncRNA from 7 species